AUGAAACAUCAUAUAUUCACCCUUAUUUGAUUGGAUAUGAUAUCUUAUCUGAGCAUCCUGAUAUUUCUGUUACCCAAUGUUAGUUCACAGAUUAUCGAUUUCCCACAUUACUGUCCUCCAAGAUCGAUGGAAGAUUGUCCAUCUGGUCAACAUUGUGCGAAUGGAAUAUGCUGGCCAGGUACUUCAACUUGUUCGUUCGAUCCACCCUGUUCAGCUGGAUAUGUCUGCAGAUUUGGAAUUUGCUCUAGUGAGUAUUAAACUAAUUUUGAUUGGGAUUGUGAACCUUGGGAAAUUUGUGUAGAUGGAAUAUGCACAAUAGACCUACCCACAACACCAAGACCAACCAUAAGUCCUACUCAGUCCUCAGAUAUCUAUUGCCGUCAUGAUAAUGACUGUCCACCUGGAUAUUAUUGUUCCAUUUGGCUAAGGCGAUGUACACGAUAUUCUUAAGCUCAUAAGGAAAAACACAGACUUGCUUACGAAGUGAAAUUGAAUUGAUCUGGACUUCUUAUGAACAACUUGUAGUCAGUUCCUCAAGGACGAGAGCUACUAAAUUUGAAUCCAAAAAAUGAUUGUCAGAAUGUUGUUACUAUGAGUAAAAAUAAAUUUUAUCAGAAAAGUU